AUUGAACGCUGGCGGCAGGCCUAACACAUGCAAGUCGAGCGGAGCGGCGGACGGGUGAGUAAUGACUAGGAAUCUGCCUGGUAGUGGGGGAGGACGUCCGGAAACGGGCGCUAAUACCGCAUACUAUCAGAUGAGCCUAGGUGUGAUGAGCUAGUUGGUGGGGUAAAGUCCUACCAAGGCGACGAUCCCUCACUGGUCUGAGAGGAUGAUCAGUCAAACGUUAACGUAGACACUGUCCUGACUCCUACGGGAGGCAGCAGUGGUGAAUAUUGGACAAUGGGCGAAAGCCUGAUCCAGCCGUGCCGCGUGUGUGAAGAAGGUCUUCGGAUUGUAAAGCACUUUAAGUUGGGAGGCGUUACCAACAGAAUAAGCACCGGCUAACUUCGUGCCAGCAGCCGCGGUAAUAC
rnacentral:rRNA from 1 species